rnacentral:lncRNA from 1 species
CGAUUAUCACGAUUCGAUUAUCAGUUUAAUUUUGACAACUAUUAUCCUAACUGAACAAUUACUGACCAACCCCGACUGACUAUCAACUAAUCUACUCCAAUGGACCUUGGACCAAUCUCUCCCAAACAACUCUACUCAUUAACCCACUAGCUUUACCCUAAUUGAAUGAUCGAGCCUAAUUGCCUUCAGCCGAAACAAAGGACAAUUCAUUCAAGUAGUCUUUCCAUAAAAUCCCUUCCUCAUCGAGAAGGUAUCACUAACUACUCUAUCUUGAAUGUCAUGGUUGCUGCCAUACCUACUAUGAAAGAUUAGAAAUCCAGUCUUGCAAGUAAACUCAAGAUUAAGAAUUGAUAUUUUCUUCAACCUCCGAGAUCCAUAGCCGUUGAAAACUACCAUUGCUCUCUCCACAACUUUUUCUUGUGUAUGUGUCAUCAUUAAUUAAGUGUAUAUCAAAAUUAAUUAUUGAUAUAAAAUAUAUGUUUUAAUAUAAAAUAUACAUUAAAAAUGAAUUAAUAUUUGUCUCCAUUACAUACACAGACAUAGAUUAAGCUUGAUUCAAACUUACUGUUUUUGCUUCUUUGUGAAAUUAAGUUGUUUGUGUAGUGAUGAAAACUUUUCAAUGGAUCUUGG